UACGUAGGGUGCAAGCGUUAAUCGGAAUUACUGGGCGUAAAGCGUGCGCAGGCGGCUUUGCAAGACAGAUGUGAAAUCCCCGGGCUUAACCUGGGAACUGCAUUUGUGACUGCAUGGCUGGAGUGUGGCAGAGGGGGGUGGAAUUCCGCGUGUAGCAGUGAAAUGCGUAGAGAUGCGGAGGAACACCGAUGGCGAAGGCAGCCCCCUGGGCUGACACUGACGCUCAGGCACGAAAGCGUGGGGAGCAAACAGG
rnacentral:rRNA from 1 species